UACAGAGGGUGCGAGCGUUAAUCGGAAUUACUGGGCGUAAAGCGUGCGCAGGCGGUUCUGCAAGACAGGUGUGAAAUCCCGGGGCUUAACCUGGGAAUGGCGCUUGUGACUGCGGGGCUGGAGUGCGGCAGAGGGGGGUGGAAUUCCACGUGUAGCAGUGAAAUGCGUAGAGAUGUGGAGGAACACCGAUGGCGAAGGCAGCCCCCUGGGAUGACACUGACGCUCAUGUACGAAAGCGUGGGUAGCAAAC
rnacentral:rRNA from 1 species